rnacentral:rRNA from 1 species
GAUGAACGCUGGCGGCGUGCCUAAUACAUGCAAGUCGAGCGAAUGGAUUAAGAGCUUGCUCUUAUGAAGUUAGCGGCGGACGGGUGAGUAACACGUGGGUAACCUGCCCAUAAGACUGGGAUAACUCCGGGAAACCGGGGCUAAUACCGGAUAAUAUUUUGAACUGCAUGGUUCAAAAUUGAAAGGCGGCUUCGGCUGUCACUUAUGGAUGGACCCGCGUCGCAUUAGCUAGUUGGUGAGGUAACGGCUCACCAAGGCAAAGAUGCGUAGCCGACCUGAGAGGGUGAUAGGCCACACUGGGACUGAGACACGGCCCAGACUCCUACGGGAGGCAGCAGUAGGGAAUCUUCCGGAAUGGACGAAAGUCUGACGGAGCAACGCCGCGUGAGUGAUGAAGGCUUUCGGGUCGUAAAACUCUGUUGUUAGGGAAGAACAAGUGCUAGUUGAAUAAGCUGGCACCUUGACGGUACCUAACCAGAAAGCCACGGCUAACUACGUGCCAGCCGCCGCAGUAA